GGCGGACGGGUGAGUAACGCGUAAGGAACUUGCCUCUUGGUCUGGGACAACUGUUGGAAACGACAGCUAAUACCGGAUAUUAUGAGAUUCUCGCAUGGGAAACUUAUGAAAGCUAUAUGCGCCAAGAGAGAGCCUUGCGUUCCAUUAGCUAGUUGGUGGGGUAACGGCCCACCAAGGCGACGAUGGAUAGCCGGCCUGAGAGGGUGAACGGCCACAAGGGGACUGAGACACGGCCCUUACUCCUACGGGAGGCAGCAGUGGGGAAUAUUGGACAAUGGGCCACAAGCCUGAUCCAGCAAUUCUGUGUGCACGAUGAAGGUCUUCGGAUUGUAAAGUGCUUUCAGUUGGGAAGAAGAAAGUGACGGUACCAACAGAAGAAGCGACGGCUAAAUACGUGCCAGCAGCCGCGGUAAUACGUAUGUCGCAAGCGUUAUCCGGAUUUAUUGGGCGUAAAGCGCGUCUAGGCGGAAAAAUAAGUCUGAUGUUAAAAUGCGGGGCUCAACUCCGUAUUGCGUUGGAAACUGUUUUUCUAGAGUACUGGAGAGGUGGGCGGAACUACAAGUGUAGAGGUGAAAUUCGUAGAUAUUUGUAGGAAUGCCGAUGGAGAAGUCAGCUCACUG
rnacentral:rRNA from 1 species